GCGCCCGUAGCUUAAGAGGACUAAAGCUCCGGACUUAAAAUCCGGCAGAUGCGGGUUCGAGUCCCGUCGGGCGUUCGA
rnacentral:tRNA from 1 species